AUCCCCUCCGCCGGGCGGCUCACGGCACUACCUCCGCGGUGCCACUAGAAGCUGGCGAGCUGAUCCCGGAUCUAAGACCUAAGAUCCGGGAUCCUCGCCCGCUGCCUCCGGCUUCCGAGGCCUCAGGGCAUGUAGAUGGGUUCAGGGAGUGGCACUUGGUGCCGUCAAGGAAAAGCAGCUAGAACCAGCUGAAUUCAGCCUCCGAGACCCCGUCCCAGCUGCUUUUGAUAGCACCUUCUCCGGCUUUCCUGGGGGCUCCUGUGAAAUCUGCUAGUUUGGUUUCCGCUGGGUGCCUCAGGAGCCCCCUCGUGAGGAAAUUUGGUUUAGACCGUUCCACGACUCACCAAAGACCCAGAGCAAUUCUCAAAAUCAUUGCAUUAUGAAAAAAAACGGCCUUGGUAGACUACAAUAAAAACUGUACAUUAACA